rnacentral:rRNA from 1 species
GUCUACGGCCAUACCACCCUGAACGCGCCCGAUCUUGUCUGAUCUCGGAAGCUAAGCAGGGUCGGGCCUGGUUAGUACUUGGAUGGGAAAAAACAGAAAGAUACCUGGAAAAUCCCUAAAUA